rnacentral:lncRNA from 1 species
CAGUCUCAUAUCGCCUGCUGAUCGAUUAGCUGGCUGGUGAUCACAAGCUAGCAAUGGCAAUGUGGAGCGCCACUGCAUCUCCACGGUCGUCUCUGUUCAAGAUCGUGCUAGUGCUAGUCCUCGUCACAUCAUCUCCACACUCCUCGGAGGCUACCACUACCACAUCAUAUUCUGCAGGUACAGGUCGGCUCCACUGUUAAUUACUAAUAAGCUAGCAUAGUUUUUAUAUGUAAUUUCCUUCAAUAAUCAAUGUAAUCAGGUUGCUUCAGCUCACUGUUAAUUAAUUCUUUUAUAUUCACACGCACUGUACUCCACAUGCGUGCAGGCUUCGACGGCGGCGUGCAUCACGGUGCGCGGAAGCUUCUGAGCGGCGAUUACCAGGUCACGCCUCCUCCGCCGGCGCCGGUAGCGGGCCCUCCCAUCGGUCCUCUCCCCACCCCAAGUGCACUGCCGCCGUCGCCGCCGGCUGUGUGAUCACCAUGUAUGCCCGUGCGUGCGCUGCUGGUUGAUCGUCUUUCUCACGUACUGCUGUUCGAAUAAACUUACUUCCGCUGUUAUCGAGUUUAAUUUUUGUUUUAAUC